UGGCAGAACUAAUGUAACACUGCGUACCUUAAAAAUUUACCCCCAAAAUUUUCUAAAAAAAUCAAAAGGCAGUAACAUGAUACUCAUAUGUAUAUCUCUUUUCAGAAGUACUAGAAAAUUCCCCCCAUCCCCAAUUCAUCUUCCUUCCCCAUGGUUUCACAAAACUCAGCUUCACGUUGCUUCUGUUACUGAAGCAAUACCAUUAUUGUCUCCUGGGCUGACUGGAUCGAUAAUCUUCCGUUGUUCGAGAUGAGCGGCUAAGAUCUCUUCUUGCGAUUGUGCAGUCAUGACGAUGAGAGUUUUAUGAGAAAAAUUCAGUUCAGUUGUUAAAAAAGACUCACGCUGACUCCUAAAACCCUAGACGUCGAAGAAAUUUGUGAAUUUUUCGUUUUUGCGUAGGAUUCAGCGGUCAACACUCGAAAAGAUCCGUGGUAUACUUGAAGUUAGGUUUGGCAUAAAAUAAGUGUCAUGACUAGGUUUUCAAAUGUUCUGUCCUAAGGCUGGAUGAAUCUACCAAGAUGGUUCAAAUCCAACUAAAGAAGAUUGUGGACUAGCAAAAUUACGGAAGCACAUAGAUAUUGAGCAGGUAUCUCUGCAACUUGAUAGUUUAGCAGUUAUCUUUUGUAUUUUCACACCUUUAAACUUUUUUUAUGAAUUGAAAAAGAAAACUUUUAUAGUCAUAGUUCAUAUUUGUGCUUCUAUGUUAUUAUGUUGUACUAUCUUUGUUAAAUUAUGUUAUUACACCAGCAAAAACUUUUACAGUACAAAUAUAUAGAGUUGUAAGAUUGAAUUUUGUCAAUACAUCAGAAUUUUCCCAAUGUUUUUGUGUUUUGCAAUAUUUUGUAUUUCUGCAGUGUGUUUUAUUUCUGUGCAAUGUUUCUAUAGUGUUUUGUAUUUUGCACAACGUUUCUGUAUUUUUGCAUUUCUACACAGUUUCUGCAUUUUCGUAUUUCUGCACUCUUCAACAUUUCGUAUUUCUGCAUAGUAUUUCAACAAAUUAUGCAUCUCUGCAUAAUGUUUCUGCAGUGUGUUGUAUUUCUGGUCAUUGUGGUAUCUAGCCCUUUGAAAAUGCACAUAGUAUGUAUAUAUAUCAGUGUUAUAAUUUGUAUCAUGUACUAUAUUAUCUUCAAUUUUCAUCUUUUUAUGCAUGUCUUGCUCAAUGCUGGUACAUCUUCCACGUUCCUCUGGCUCGUGGUCCGAUUCUUGAAAAGGGAAGCUCUGGUGAGCAAAUUGGAAAUAGUAGCCACAAGGCAAUUUGAUCUGUCGGAGUUUAAUGAUGAAGAGCUUGGACAAUUAUAAUUUAUAUUAUUCUUAAUACUAUAAUAAUUACGGUUGAUUUUGUAAAGUUAAUUGUUAGCAUGCACCUUUGAGCAAUUUGCUUUAUGCGGUGAUGUAUCACACACAAGAUUUAUUCAUUUUUAAAGUUAAUUGCAAGUAUAUGCAUUUGAAUUAU